UACGGAGGGUGCGAGCGUUAAUCGGAAUUACUGGGCGUAAAGGGUGCGCGGGUGGUUUAAUAAGUUAGCUGUGAAAUUCCUGGGCUUAACCUAGGGUGGUCAGCUAAGACUGUUAGACUAGAGUAUAGGAGAGGGUAGUGGAAUUUCCGGUGUAGCGGUGAAAUGCGUAGAGAUCGGAAGGAACACCAGUGGCGAAGGCGGCUACCUGGCCUAAUACUGACACUGAGGCACGAAAGCGUGGGGAGCAAACAGG
rnacentral:rRNA from 1 species